GAAGUAUCUUGGUAUGUAAACCUCUUUUCUCAAGAAAGAAGUUCUGACGGUACUUGAGGAAUAAGCAUCGGCUAACUCCGUGCCAGCAGCCGCGGUAAUACGGAGGGUGCAAGCGUUAAUCGGAAUUACUGGGCGUAAAGCGCGCGUAGGCGGCUUUGUAAGUCGGAUGUGAAAGCCCUGGGCUCAACCUGGGAACUGCAUUCGAUACUGCCAAGCUAGAAUAUGGGAGAGGGAAGUGGAAUUUCCGGUGUAGCGGUGAAAUGCGUAGAUAUCGGAAGGAACACCAGUGGCGAAGGCGGCUUCCUGGCCCAAUAUUGACGCUGAGGUGCGAAAGCGUGGGGAGCAAAC
rnacentral:rRNA from 1 species